UUGAGAGUGCAGGGGAGCGGUGUGAAGGGGUCGGGGUUUGGCAAAGGUGGAAGUGAAGGCGUGUCUCCUACGUGAGUUCCUCGAAACUGGAGAUGUCCAAGCAUCGGCAUCUUUGUGGCAGAAAGAGUGACCGGGUCCCUGUGGGACUAGAUAAAGGGAGAGGAGUUUGGGGGACCUGGUUAUAAUGUGUUAGGCAAAAGGAUUUGCAUUUUAUCCUAAAAACCACGGAGAGCCUGAAAUGAGCCUCCUUUGUGUUCCUAUUGCAGCCUGUGCACACCUCCGAACACAGCAUUUACAGCAGGGCGUAGGACCACGCCUUAAUUCACCUUGGCUCUCUCCAGUGCUAAGCAAAUUUGCUUGAGUGAACAGACCUACAUUUUGGCCCAGACACCACCACUUACUAGUUGUAUAAUCUAGGGCCAGGUGUGAUCAUGGAAGAUGCCACCAUUGAGUUGGGUCCCCUGGUUUUACUGGAGAUGAUGAGGCCAAGUGGCAGCACUUAAUUAUUAAAGCAACACUGAGCAGUGCUGGUUUGAAGGUCUGCUUCCUCAGGGUGUGAAUGCUUACACAAGGACUAUGUCUGGAACCAAAAGGAUUUUCUCAGGUGCCUCUUGGUACUUUGUGUCCAGUAAAAAAAAAACAUAAAGAAAACUACAAAAGCAGCAACAACAAAACAGCAGAAUGAUGAAUAACUUGGAUUAAGAAUGAAGAUUUGUGUUGUACCGUCAGGUAAAGAAGUCAGUGAACUGAGGUUCUGGCUAAGGGCAAGGGAAAUAUGGAAGAAGCCACCUGUGAUGUUAUAACCAAUAACAGAAACAAAGACUGUAUGAGCUUUGUAUGUUUUCUCUUUGCUAGCUAUAUGUAUGUGUUUUGUACAUGAAAAUCAUGUUCUUCUCUCUCCAUUAUUUUAUAUUUAUGUAGUUGGAGGUUACAUUUACAAUUUAGUUUCUAUGUAGCAGAACAUUCAGUAGGAUUAUGAUUGAAUUUGAAGACUAUUUAAUACGGUCAGUAGUAGAUAUGGUGACUGUUGGAAGUUCAUUUGGGGGGAAACAAUGAGAACGCCUUCACUUCUGUGAAGGAUAGCUGUAUCUUGGUAGGUGGAAACAGAUGUUGUGUUGAUCCUACAGAAGUUGAAAUGUGUGUAGAAGGGUGGUGCAUAUGGAAACUGAGUAGCUGAAGGAGUGGACUCUGAAUCAUCAAUCCUUAUUAACUCUCAGCUCCAAAUCCAUCCUUUAUUGCCUGCUUGUUAUACUGGAACAUUUUUCCCUUGCUAGCUGAUUCAAUAGUAAGCUUCAUUAGUCGAUAG
rnacentral:lncRNA from 1 species